rnacentral:rRNA from 1 species
AUACGGAGGAUGCGAGCGUUAUCCGGAUUUAUUGGGUUUAAAGGGAGCGUAGGUGGGAUAUUAAGUCAGCUGUGAAAGUUUGGGGCUCAACCUUAAAAUUGCAGUUGAUACUGGUUUCCUUGAGUACGGUACAGGUGGGCGGAAUUCGUGGUGUAGCGGUGAAAUGCUUAGAUAUCACGAAGAACUCCGAUCGCGAAGGCGGCUCACCGGGCCGGAACUGACACUGAUGCUCGAAAGUGCGGGUAUCAAACAGGAUUAGAUACCCUGGUAGUCCGCACAGUAAACGAUGAAUACUCGCUGUUUGCGAUACACGGUAAGCGGCCAAGCGAAAGCGUUAAGUAUUCCACCUGGGGAGUACGCCGGCAACGGUGAAACUCAAAUGAAUUGGCGGGG